CGCGGCGGCGGCGCAUGCGCGCUGGAGAAGUGCGGGCGGAGGCGGCGUCGUCAUGGAACUGGCCCUGGAGCUGACGGCCCGUCACUGCGGGGCGGAGCUGGAGCGCUACGGGCGCUGCGUGGCCGCGAGUCCCGAAUCCUGGCAGAGGGAUUGUCACCGGCUGCGGCUCGGGAUCGCCCAGUGCGCCUCGGCACACCCCAUCGUGCGGCAGAUCCGCCGGGACUGUGCCGAGCCCUUCGCGGCCUUCGAGCGCUGCCUGCGGGAUCACCCCGGGAGCGCCGGGAGCUGCCACCCCCACGCCAACGCCUUCCUGCUCUGCGCCGACCAAGUGAAGCCCGGGGAGCCCUGAGAGAAUUCUUGGAAUUCAGUUCCAGGGAAUUUCCCUCCGACAAAAAAUCCGCCUUUUCCCCGGUUUUCGGUUCCUCCGGGAGAUUCCCACCUGGAAAAAUCAGCGUGUGGAGGCUCAGGGACAAAAGCACGUCCAGGAAUCCGUCGGCCAAAUCCUCGGGAUUGUCCCGCCCGAUUCCCGACUCCGCAGAUCCCAAAGAAUGUUCUGCCGGGAAUAACAAACCAAAGGCUCUUCCCGGGGCGGGAUGGAGGAGGCGGGAGCUGCUCCGAACCUCGACCUGCCCAGGGAUUCAUGGAAUUGUUGGGAAAGGCCCCGGGAUCAUCCGGAGCAGCCGCUCCAAGGCCACCGAGGAACCACGUCCACAGGAAAACAUUCCAGAGGGAACGCGGUGGAUGAUCCUUAAUGGAGCUCCAGGCAGUUCUGAACAUUCCCUUUAAUUUCCCGGUGAUUGGGUUUAAUUUCCCGGGAAUGGGGGGCCUGGGAAAACCAGGAAUGGCUCCGGGUAAUGAAGGUCGUUCAUCAUCCAGGGGCAGGAGGAGGAGGAGGAGAGGGAAAGGUUUGGGAUGAGGGGGAAA